rnacentral:lncRNA from 1 species
CCCGGCAAUAGUGCAUUCGGGUGCCGAAAUGCACCCGUUUUGCAUCAUUUUUCGUGCCGGAACCGAAUGCCCAAAAACACUCCCAAACAUGUUCUAGUGUAUAUUUAGGAAGAUUGCAUGCGUUCGUUGCGAAAAAAUCCACCCGAGUUUCGCUACCCGGCAAUAGUGCAUUCGGGUGCCGAAAUGCACCCGUUUUGCAUCAUUUUUCGUGCCGGAACCGAAUGCCCAAAAAUACUCCCAAACAUGUUCUAGUGUAUAUUUAGGAAGAUUGCAUGCGUUCGUUGCGAAAAAAUCCACCCGAGUUUCGCUACCUGGCAAUAGUGCAGUCGGGUGCCGAAAUGCACCCGUUUUGCAUCAUUUUUCGUGCCGGAACCGAAUGCCCAAAAACACUCCCAAACAUGUUCUAGGGUCUAAUUAGGUAGAUUGGAUGCGUUCGUUGCGAAAAAAUCCACCCGAGUUUCGCUACCCGGCAAUAGUGCAUUCGGGUGCCGAAAUGCACCCGUUUUGCAUCAUUUUUCGUGCCGGAACCGAAUGCCCAAAAACACUCCAAAAUAUGUUCUAGUGUAUAUUUAGGAAGAUUUGAUGCGUUCGUUGCGAAAAAAUCCACCCGAGUAUCGCUACCCGGCAAUAGUGCAUUCGAGUGCCGAAAUGCACCCGUUUUGCAUCAUUUUUCGUGCCGGAACCGAAUGCCCAAAAACACUCCCAAACAUGUUCUAGUGUAUAUUUAGGAAGAUUGGAUGCGUUCGUUGCGAAAAAAUCCACCCGAGUUUCGCUACCCGGCAAUAGUGCAUUCGGGUGCCGAAAUGCACCCGUUUUGCAUCAUUUUUCGUGCCGGAACCGAAUGCCCAAAAACACUCCCAAACCUGUUCUAGUGUAUAUUUAGGAAGAUUGGAUGCGUUCGUUGCGAAAAAAUCCACCCGAGUUUCGCUACCCGGCAAUAGUGCAUUCGGGUGCCGAAAUGCACCCUUUUGCAUCGUUUUUCGUGCCGGAACCGAAUGCCCAAAAACACUCCCAAACCUGUUCUAGUGUAUAUUUAGGAAGAUUGCAUGCGUUCGUUGCGAAAAAAUCCACCCGAGUUUCGCUACCCGGCAAUAGUGCAUUCGAGUGCCGAAAUGCACCCGUUUUGCAUCGUUUUUCGUGCCGGAACCGAAUGCCCAAAAACACUCCCAAACAUGUUCUAGUGUAUAUUUAGGAAGAUUGGAUGCGUUCGUUGCGAAAAAAUCCACCCGAGUUUUGCUACCCGGCAAUAGUGCAUUCGGGUGCCGAAAUGCACCUGUUUUGCAUCGUUUUUCGUGCCGGAACCGAAUGCCCAAAAACACUCCCAAACAUGUUCUAGGGUCUAAUUAGGUAGAUUGGAUGCGUUCGUUGCGAAAAAAUCCACCCGAGUUUCGCUACCCGGCAAUAGUGCAUUCGGGUGCCGAAAUGCACCCGUUUUGCAUCAUUUUUCGUGCCGGAACCGAAUGCCCAAAAACACUCCCAAACAUGUUCUAGUGUAUAUUUAGGAAGAUUGCAUGCGUUCGUUGCGAAAAAAUCCACCCGAGUUUCGCUACCCGGCAAUAGUGCAUUCGGGUGCCGAAAUGCACCCGUUUUGCAUCAUUUUUCGUGCCGGAACCGAAUGCCCAAAAAUACUCCCAAACAUGUUCUAGUGUAUAUUUAGGAAGAUUGCAUGCGUUCGUUGCGAAUAAAUCCACCCGAGUUUCGCUACCUGGCAAUAGUGCAGUCGGGUGCCGAAAUGCACCCGUUUUGCAUCAUUUUUCGUGCCGGAACCGAAUGCCCAAAAACACUCCCAAACAUGUUCUAGGGUCUAAUUAGGUAGAUUGGAUGCGUUCGUUGCGAAAAAAUCCACCCGAGUUUCGCUACCCGGCAAUAGUGCAUUCGGGUGCCGAAAUGCACCCGUUUUGCAUCAUUUUUCGUGCCGGAACCGAAUGCCCAAAAACACUCCCAAACAUGUUCUAGUGUAUAUUUAGGAAGAUUGCAUGCGUUCGUUGCGAAAAAAUCCACCCGAGUAUCGCUACCCGGCAAUAGUGCAUUCGAGUGCCGAAAUGCACCCGUUUUGCAUCAUUUUUCGUGCCGGAACCGAAUGCCAAAAAACACUCCCAAACAUGUUCUAGGGUCUAAUUAGGUAGAUUGGAUGCGUUCGUUGCGAAAAAAUCCAGCCGAGUUUUGCUACCCGGCAAUAGUGCAUUCGGGUGCCGAAAUGCACCCGUUUUGCAUCGUUUUUCGUGCCGGAACCGAAUGCCCAAAAACACUCCCAAACAUGUUCUAGUGUAUAUUUAGGAAGAUUGGAUGCGUUCGUUGCGAAAAAAUCCACGCGAGUUUCGCUACCCGGCAAUAGUGCAUUCGGGUGCCGAAAUGCACCCGUUUUGCAUCGUUUUUCGUGCCGGAACCGAAUGCCCAAAAACACUCCCAGACAUGUUCUAGGGUCUAAUUAGGUAGAUUGGAUGCGUUCGUUGCGAAAAAAUCCACCCGAGUUUCGCUACCCGGCAAUAGUGCAUUCGGGUGCCGAAAUGCACCCGUUUUGCAUCGUUUUUCGUGCCGGAACCGAAUGCCCAAAAACACUCCCAAACAUGUUCUAGUGUCUAAUUAGGUAGAUUGGAUGCCUUCGUUGCGAAAAAAUCCACCCGAGUUUCGCUACCCGGCAAUAGUGCAUUCGGGUGCCGAAAUGCACCUGUUUUGCAUCAUUUUUCGUGCCGGAACCAAAUGCCCAAAAACACUCCCAAACAUGUUCUAGUGUAUAUUUAGGAAGAUUGCAUGCGUUCGUUGCGAAAAAAUCCACCCGAGUUUCGCUACCCGGCAAUAGUGCAUUCGGGUGCCGAAAUGCACCCGUUUUGCAUCAUUUUUCGUGCCGGAACCGAAUGCCCAAAAACACUCCCAAACAUGUUCUAGUGUAUAUUUAGGAAGAUUGCAUGCGUUCGUUGCGAAAAAAUCCACCCGAGUUUCGCUACCCGGCAAUAGUGCAUUCGGGUGCCGAAAUGCACCCGUUUUGCAUCAUUUUUCGUGCCGGAACCGAAUGCCCAAAAAUACUCCCAAACAUGUUCUAGUGUAUAUUUAGGAAGAUUGCAU